AGAGUUUGAUCCUGGCUCAGGACGAACGCUGGCGGCGUGCCUAACACAUGCAAGUCGAACGGGGUGAACCUUCGGGUUCACUUAGUGGCGAACGGGAGAGUAACGCGUGAGGAACCUGCCUUUCAGUGGGGGACAACAGUUGGAAACGACUGCUAAUACCGCAUAAUGUCAUCGGGCGGCAUCGCUUGAUGACCAAAGAUUUAUUGCUGAAAGAUGGCCUCGCGUCUGAUUAGCUAGUUGGUGAGGUAACGGCUCACCAAGGCGACGAUCAGUAGCCGGUCUGAGAGGAUGAACGGCCACAUUGGGACUGAGAUACGGCCCAGACUCCUACGGGAGGCAGCAGUGGGGAAUAUUGGGCAAUGGGGGAAACCCUGACCCAGCAACGCCGCGUGAAGGAAGAAGGCCUUCGGGUUGUAAACUUCUUUUAGCAGGGACGAAGAACGUGACGGUACCUGCAGAAAAAGCAACGGCUAACUACGUGCCAGCAGCCGCGGUAAUACGUAGGUUGCAAGCGUUGUCCGGAUUUACUGGGUGUAAAGGGCGUGUAGGCGGAGAUGCAAGUCAGGAGUGAAAUCCCGGGGCUCAACCCCGGAACUGCUUUUGAAACUGCAUCCCUUGAGUAUCGGAGAGGCAAGCGGAAUUCCUAGUGUAGCGGUGAAAUGCGUAGAUAUUAGGAGGAACACCAGUGGCGAAGGCGGCUUGCUGGACGACAACUGACGCUGAGGCGCGAAAGCGUGGGGAGCAAACAGGAUUAGAUACCCUGGUAGUCC
rnacentral:rRNA from 1 species